rnacentral:rRNA from 1 species
CAGUCGCCGCGGUAAUGCGGAGGGAGCUAGCGUUGUUCGGAAUUACUGGGCGCAAAGCGCGCGUAGGCGGUUACUCAAGUCAGAGGUGAAAGCCCGGGGCUCAACCCCGGAACUGCCUUUGAAACUAGGUGACUAGAAUCUUGGAGAGGUCAGUGGAAUUCCGAGUGUAGAGGUGAAAUUCGUAGAUAUUCGGAAGAACACCAGUGGCGAAGGCGACUGACUGGACAAGUAUUGACGCUGAGGUGCGAAAGCGUGGGGAGCAAACAGGAUUAGAUACCCGAGUAGUCCCUGUCUCUUAUAC